ACCCAAUUGAAGGACAAAUUGAAAAUAUGGAUGUAAUCGAUAUAUCGUCAUCCAGUAGUGAUGAGCUUGGGAUGUUAAAUACGGAAUUUGUAGAAAAAAAUUACCUCUCGCUUUUGUCCAGGGAAGCUACGAAGUUAGAACGGGAAAGGGUUGAUGCCUUUGUAAGAGAAGAAUCAAGAAGAAAUGAAGAGAUAGAAAGACAGCGUUCUAUUGCCAGAAAUGUUGCUAAAAAAUUUGCACAUCCUAAACAGCAGCAGCAAGAAACGAGUGACCCAGAAACGACUAGUCAAUUGAGUGAAGUUGAUUCUCAAAGUCCGUUUGCACUGGCAAUGAAAGCAAUCAGGAAGAGGAAUUCAAGCCAAAAUGUCCAUAAGAAGUCUUUACCUGGUUUAUCUGAGCCUCCGUUCAAAUGGGUUCCGGCAAAUAACAGAGGCCGUAAUGGUUUUCAACGCUCUGUUCCUAAACUGCUUGAUAUUUGUCUCGAUUUUAUUGCCAAGAAUGCUGAUAAAAUUGUGUCACUUGAAUAUAUUCCGGACAAUUUAAAGCAUAAACUUAGUCAGAUGGUUAGUUGUUAUAGAAAAUCGGACGCACGCUUUGUUGAACUUCUUGCAGGGAAUUCUCCAACUGAGAUUCGUGUGUGGGAUACUUCACAAUUGACAGAAGACGAAUGUAGCAAAAUUUUUAGUACUCUUGAUACCAAGAACUUGACUGUUUUACAACUAGAUCUUUGUGGAUUGUGCAUGCCUGAUUAUGUAUUGUGUACCACUUUGGCCAGGCCAUUGCAUAAACUUUCUAAAUUAGCCACCUUAUCUCUAAGGGGUGCACAUCGAUUAUCGGAUUGUGGGCUAAGUGCACUGGCCGUGUCUGCACCAGUAUUACAGUCUAUAAAUCUGAGCCAGUGCUCUCUUCUCACAUCUAGUAGCAUCAAUGAUCUGGCUAGUCAUUUGGGAUCUACUUUAAGGGAGCUAUAUAUGGAUGAUUGUCAGAACAUAGAUGCCAUGCUUAUUUUACCAGCAUUUAAGAAGUUCAAGCGUUUAGAAGUGUUGUCAGUGGCAGGCAUUCGGACUGUUAGGGAUGGUUUUGUCAUUGCAAUGGUUGAAGCAUGCGGCAUGAAUAUGAAGGAGCUUGUUUUUGCUAAUUGUGUGGAACUGACUGAUAUAUCACUUAAAUUUGUGGGUGAAAAUUGCCCCAAUUUAUGUGCCUUGGACCUUUCACACUUGCAUAACUUGACAGAUAAAGCAUUACAAUAUCUAGCCAAUGGUUGCCGAUCAAUUCAUAAAUUGAAACUUUGCCGAAAUGAUUUCAGUGAUGAAGCUGUUGCUGCCUUCUUGGAAGCCUCUGGGGAGUCUGUAAAUGUGCUUUCACUGAAUAACAUCAGUAGGGUCAGUCUCCACACUGCCUUAGCAAUUGCGAAAUGUUUGAGAAGCUUGUUGAGUUUGGACUUAUCAUGGUGUCGCAAAUUAACAAAUGAGGCACUGGGAUUGAUUGUUGACAGCUGCUCUUCACUGAAGGUGCUCACACUUUUUGGGUGCACACAGAUUACAGAAGUCUUUCUGAAUGGUCACUCGAACUCUCUUGUGCAUAUCAUUGGAUGCAAGAUGACACCAAUUCUGGAACAUCUCGAUAUGCUUGGUCCUCAAGAAACUCCAUUAAGGUAUUCUCCACUGAUAGAUGUUGCCGAUCAGCAGAGUAUUUGAUUCCCAAAUACGUAAUUUUGCUAAUGUGCUACUCACAUUCUUAUUGUACUGGAAAUGCCCUGUAGCCAAUUUCAUUUGUUUUUGGUCCAUACAACACUCAAACCAAAUCACUCAUUAACCUCAACGUCAACUAGAAAAGUCCCCAAGUCUAUUGAUAGCAAACUGAGCCUGAGUAUAAUUUCUUUGGAUUACCUUCUCAUAUCUUCCAUCUUUUGCUAAUGUAAGAUGCAUGAUGCAUCUGAAAAUUGUAUAGGAAGGAGGAAUUUUUGAAUGUUAAUAUGAUCAGAUUAAAGAGAAUAUCAAAUAUAGUUGAUUUGGUUCAAAUACUUUGGCUUUUUUAUCUUUUCUCUCUCCAUUUGGUGAUGAAGCACACCGCAAACGGCAAAUGUGGGAG
rnacentral:misc_RNA from 1 species